rnacentral:rRNA from 1 species
AUUGAACGCUGGCGGCAUGCUUUACACAUGCAAGUCGAACGGUAACAGGGAGCUUGCUCCGCUGACGAGUGGCGAACGGGUGAGUAAUGCGUCGGAACGUGCCGAGUAGUGGGGGAUAACGCAUCGAAAGGUGUGCUAAUACCGCAUACGAACUGAGGUUGAAAGUGGGGGACCUUCGGGCCUCACGCUAUUCGAGCGGCCGACGUCCGAUUAGCUAGUUGGUGAGGUAAAGGCUCACCAAGGCGACGAUCAGUGGCGGGUCUGAGAGGAUGAUCCGCCACACGGGGACUGAGACACGGGCCAGACACCUACGGGAGGCAGCAGUGGGGAAGUUUGGACAAUGGGCGCAAGCCUGAUCCAGCCGUGCCGCGUGUCUGAAGAAGGCCUUCGGGUUGUAAAGGACUUUUGUCCGGGAGCAAAUGCUGGUGGCUAACAUCCACCGGAGCUGAGAGUACCGGAAGAAUAAGCACCGGCUAACUACGUGCCAGCCGCCGCGGUAAUAC